GACAGAGGAUGCAAGCGUUAUCCGGAAUGAUUGGGCGUAAAGCGUCUGUAGGUGGCUUUUUAAGUCCGCCGUCAAAUCCCAGGGCUCAACCCUGGACAGGCGGUGGAAACUACCAAGCUGGAGUACGGUAGGGGCAGGAGGGAAUUUCCGGGUGGGAGCGGUGAAAUGCGUAGAGAUCGGAAAGAACACCAACGGCGAAAGCACUCUGCUGGGCCGACACUGACACUGAGAGACGAAAGCUAGGGGAGCGAAUGGG
rnacentral:rRNA from 1 species